rnacentral:rRNA from 1 species
AACGAACGCUGGCGGCAUGCCUAACACAUGCAAGUCGAACGAGAUCUUCGGGUCUAGUGGCGCACGGGUGCGUAACGCGUGGGAAUCUGCCCUUUGGUUCGGAAUAACAGUUGGAAACGACUGCUAAUACCGGAUGAUGACGAAAGUCCAAAGAUUUAUCGCCAGAGGAUGAGCCCGCGUAGGAUUAGCUAGUUGGUGUGGUAAAGGCGCACCAAGGCGACGAUCCUUAGCUGGUCUGAGAGGAUGAUCAGCCACACUGGGACUGAGACACGGCCCAGACUCCUACGGGAGGCAGCAGUGGGGAAUAUUGGACAAUGGGCGAAAGCCUGAUCCAGCAAUGCCGCGUGAGUGAUGAAGGCCUUAGGGUUGUAAAGCUCUUUUACCCGGGAUGAUAAUGACAGUACCGGAAGAAUAAGCUCCGGCUAACCCCGUGCCAGCCGCCGCAGUAA